UACGAAGGGUGCAAACGUUGCUCGGAAUUAUUGGGCGUAAAGCGCACGUAGGCGGCUUUGUAAGUCGGAUGUGAAAUCCCUCGGCUUAACCAAGGAAGUGCAUCCGAAACUACAGAGCUUGAGUACUUAAGAGGAUCGCGGAAUUCCCGGUGUAGAGGUGAAAUUCGUAGAUAUCGGGAGGAGCACCAGUGGCGAAGGCGGCGAUCUGGAAGAUACUGACGCUGAGGUGCGAAAGCGUGGGGAGCAAACAGG
rnacentral:rRNA from 1 species